rnacentral:rRNA from 1 species
AUUGAACGCUGGCGGAAUGCUUUACACAUGCAAGUCGAACGGCAGCACGGACUUCGGUCUGGUGGCGAGUGGCGAACGGGUGAGUAAUAUAUCGGAACGUGCCCAGUCGUGGGGGAUAACGUAGUGAAAAUUACGCUAAUACCGCAUACGAUCUAUGGAUGAAAGCGGGGGAUCGCAAGACCUCGCGCGAUUGGAGUGGCCGAUAUCAGAUUAGGUAGUUGGUGAGGUAAAGGCUGACCAAGCCGACGAUCUGUAGCUGGUCUGAGAGGACGACCAGCCACACUGGAACUGAGACACGGUCCAGACUCCUACGGGAGGCAGCAGUGGGGAAUUUCGGACAAUGGACGCAAGUCUGAUCCAGCCAUUCCGCGUGCAGGACGAAGGCCUUCGGGUUGUAAACUGCUUUUGUACAGAACGAAAAGGUCUCUAUUAAUACUGGGGGCUCAUGACGGUACUGUAAGAAUAAGCACCGGCUAACUCCGUGCCAGCCGCCGCCGUAAGAC